rnacentral:rRNA from 1 species
GUUGUCCGGAUUAUUGGGCGUAAAGCGCGCGCAGGCGGAUUGGUCAGUCUGUCUUAAAAGUUCGGGGCUUAACCCCGUGAUGGGAUGGAAACUGCCAAUCUAGAGUAUCGGAGAGGAAAGUGGAAUUCCUAGUGUAGCGGUGAAAUGCGUAGAUAUUAGGAAGAACACCAGUGGCGAAGGCGACUUUCUGGACGGAAACUGACGCUGAGGCGCGAAAGCCAGGGGAGCGAACGGGAUUAGAUACCCCGGUAGUCCUGGCCGUAAACGAUGGGUACUAGGUGUAGGAGGUAUCGACCCCUUCUGUGCCGGAGUUAACGCAAUAAGUACCCCGCCUGGGGAGUACGACCGCAAGGUUGAAACUCAAAGGAAUUGACGGGGGCCCGCACAAGCGGUGGAGUAUGUGGUUUAAUUCGACGCAACGCGAAGAACCUUACCAGGUCUUGACAUUGAUGGACAGAACUAGAGAUAGUUCCUCUUCUUCGGAAGCCAGAAAACAGGUGGUGCACGGUUGUCGUCAGCUCGUGUCGUG